AUUGAACGCUGGCGGCAGGCCUAACACAUGCAAGUCGGACGGUAACAGGAAGAAGCUUGCUUCUUUGCUGACGAGUGGCGGACGGGUGAGUAAUGUCUGGGAAACUGCCUGAUGGAGGGGGAUAACUACUGGAAACGGUAGCUAAUACCGCAUAACGUCGCAAGACCAAAGAGGGGGACCUUCGGGCCUUUUGCCAUCGGAUGUGCCCAGAUGGGAUUAGCUAGUAGGUGGGGUAACGGCUCACCUAGGCGACGAUCCCUAGCUGGUCUGAGAGGAUGACCAGCCACACUGGAACUGAGACACGGUCCAGACUCCUACGGGAGGCAGCAGUGGGGAAUAUUGCACAAUGGGCGCAAGCCUGAUGCAGCCAUGCCGCGUGUAUGAAGAAGGCCUUCGGGUUGUAAAGUACUUUCAGCGGGGAGGAAGGGAGUAAAGUUAAUACCUUUGCUCAUUGACGUUACCCGCAGAAGAAGCACCGGCUAACUCCGUG
rnacentral:rRNA from 1 species